rnacentral:rRNA from 1 species
AGAGUUUGAUCAUGGCUCAGAUUGAACGCUGGCGGCAGGCCUAACACAUGCAAGACGAACGGUAACAGGAAGAAGCUUGCUUCUUUGCUGACGAGUGGCGGACGGGUGAGUAAUGUCUGGGAAACUGCCUGAUGGAGGGGGAUAACUACUGGAAACGGUAGCUAAUACCGCAUAACGUCGCAAGACCAAAGAGGGAGACCUUCGGGCCUCUUGCCAUCGGAUGUGCCCAGAUGGGAUUAGCUAGUAGGUGGGGUAACGGCUCACCUAGGCGACGAUCCCUAGCUGGUCUGAGAGGAUGACCAGCCACACUGGAACUGAGACACGGUCCAGACUCCUACGGGAGGCAGCAGUGGGGAAUAUUGCACAAUGGGCGCAAGCCUGAUGCAGCCAUGCCGCGUGUAUGAAGAAGGCCUUCGGGUUGUAAAGUACUUUCAGCGGGGAGGAAGGGAGUAAAGUUAAUACCUUUGCUCAUUGACGUUACCCGCAGAAGAAGCACCGGCUAACUCCGUGCCAGCAGCCGCGGUAAUACGGAGGGUGCAAGCGUUAAUCGGAAUUACUGGGCGUAAAGCGCACGCAGGCGGUUUGUUAAGUCAGAUGUGAAAUCCCCGGGCUCAACCUGGGAACUGCAUCUGAUACUGGCAAGCUUGAGUCUCGUAGAGGGGGGUAGAAUUCCAGGUGUAGCGGUGAAAUGCGUAGAGAUCUGGAGGAAUACCGGUGGCGAAGGCGGCCCCCUGGACGAAGACUGACGCUCAGGUGCGAAAGCGUGGGGAGCAAACAGGAUUAGAUACCCUGGUAGUCCACGCCGUAAACGAUGUCGACUUGGAGGUUGUGCCCUUGAGGCGUGGCUUCCGGAGCUAACGCGUUAAGUCGACCGCCUGGGGAGUACGGCCGCAAGGUUAAAACUCAAAUGAAUUGACGGGGGCCCGCACAAGCGGUGGAGCAUGUGGUUUAAUUCGAUGCAACGCGAAGAACCUUACCUGGUCUUGACAUCCACGGAAGUUUUCAGAGAUGAGAAUGUGCCUUCGGGAACCGUGAGACAGGUGCUGCAUGGCUGUCGUCAGCUCGUGUUGUGAAAUGUUGGGUUAAGUCCCGCAACGAGCGCAACCCUUAUCCUUUGUUGCCAGCGGUCCGGCCGGGAACUCAAAGGAGACUGCCAGUGAUAAACUGGAGGAAGGGGGGGAUGACGUCAAGUCAUCAUGGCCCUUACGACCAGGGCUACACGCGUGCUACAAUGGCGCAUACAAAGAGAAGCGACCUCGCGAGAGCAAGCGGACCUCAUAAAGUGCGUCGUAGUCCGGAUUGGAGUCAGCAACUCGACUCCAUGAAGUCGGAAUCGCUAGUAAUCGUGGAUCAGAAUGCCACGGUGAAUACGUUCCCGGGCCUUGUACACACCGCCCGUCACACCAUGGGAGUGGGUUGCAAAAGAAGUAGGUAGCUUAACCUUCGGGAGGGCGCUUACCACUUUGUGAUUCAUGACUGGGGUGAAGUCGGGACAAGGUAACCGUAGGGGGAACCUGCGGUUG